GUGAAUCAUCAAAUUUUUGAACGCAAAUUGCACUCUCUGGUAUUCCAGAGAGUAUGCCUGUUUGAGCGUCAGUUUAAAUAAAAAUCGUUGUGGUUGCUGCCUUUCGUGGUCACACACCGGAUUUGGGUCGUCUUGCCUUCGGUUAAGUUACCUAAAAUUUUGCAGUAUUUUUUUCGAACGUAUUUAAAUGAUUUUUCGUACGUUUGCGAUAUAGAAUACUAUGUGUGGUCAUCCUCAUGAUUCGCUCCUAUAAUUUUUCAUCAAAAUGACCUCAGAUCAGAUACGAGUACCCACUGAACUU
rnacentral:misc_RNA from 1 species